UACGUAGGUGGCGAGCGUUGUCCGGAAUUAUUGGGCGUAAAGAGCUUGUAGGCGGUUUGUCGCGUCUGCUGUGAAAAUCCGGGGCUCAACCCCGGACUUGCAGUGGGUACGGGCAGACUAGAGUGUGGUAGGGGAGACUGGAAUUCCUGGUGUAGCGGUGAAAUGCGCAGAUAUCAGGAGGAACACCGAUGGCGAAGGCAGGUCUCUGGGCCACUACUGACGCUGAGAAGCGAAAGCAUGGGGAGCGAACAGG
rnacentral:rRNA from 1 species